rnacentral:rRNA from 1 species
GACGAACGCUGGCGGCGUGCCUAAUACAUGCAAGUUGAGCGAUGAAGAUUGGUGCUUGCACCAAUUUGAAGAGCAGCGAACGGGUGAGUAACGCGUGGGGAAUCUGCCUUUGAGCGGGGGACAACAUUUGGAAACGAAUGCUAAUACCGCAUAAUAACUUUAAACAUAAGUUUUAAGUUUGAAGGAUGCAAUUGCAUCACUCAAAGAUGAUCCCGCGUUGUAUUAGCUAGUUGGUGAGGUAAAGGCUCACCAAGGCGAUGAUACAUAGCCGACCUGAGAGGGUGAUCGGCCACAUUGGGACUGAGACACGGCCCAAACUCCUACGGGAGGCAGCAGUAGGGAAUCUUCGGCAAUGGACGAAAGUCUGACCGAGCAACGCCGCGUGAGUGAAGAAGGUUUUCGGAUCGUAAAACUCUGCUGGUAGAGAAGAACGUUGGUGAGAGUGGAAAGCUCAUCAAGUGACGGUAACUACCCAGAAAGGGACGGCUAACUACGUG